AGCAGGUGACUGAGAGCAGGAACCCAGGACAUGGUGUAUCCUCCCUGAGGACUUGCCUGGCUUUGCUCCAACUAGUCUUCUGAGCCUCAAAUCCUUCACUGUAAAGCUAUGGAUGUUUCAUAUCAUCCACAGUGUCAGAAAAUAGCCUUUUCCUUUGGAGCAUCACUUGCUGAUUUCUCUGCUAGGUGAUCAAUAAACUGAACAGAGAAGGUGCUCCGUUACACCUGCUACUCACAAACAAGAAAGUACUGGCUGAACGUACGAAGGUCAAGGGCAACCUUGGUUGCAGUAACUAUGCAAUUGUGGAUUUUAAGAUCCUAAGAGAACUGAGCAAGACAAAGAGCUGAAUUGUGAACUUGCACUUCUGAAAAGGAGAUUUUGGUCUGUUCAAGGAUGUACUUGGUAGAAUCCCAUGUGAAACUGCCCUGGAGGACAAGAGGGCUAAGAGAGCUGGCUGAUUUUCAAGGACAGCAAGCCCCAGAGCUCAAGAAUUGUCCACCCCUACAUUCAGAAAUUUGAACAAGGAUGGCAGGAGGUCACCAUGGAUGGACAUGGAGAUCCUGACUGAUCUCAGCACACAAAAAAAAAGCAGUAUAUAGAAAGUGGAAGUAGGGACAGGCUACCAGGAGAUGUGGGGGGAGAGUACAAGGACAUUGCUUGCACAUGUAGGAACACAGUGAGGACAAACAAAGUUGAGCUGGAUUUAAAAGGAGAAAGAGACAUGAAUGACUACAAGAAAGGUUUCUGUAAGUACUUUGAGAGCAAAAGAAAGGCUAAAGAGCUUAAGGGCCUGUUGUUCAGUCAAGCAGGGGAUCUAAUAGGAAAAGACUGAAAUACUCAAUACUUUUUUUUGCCUCAGUUUUCCCUUGUACAACUUGUCCCAAGGCCCUUCAGGUCACUGAGCCUCCUAGCAGGGUCUAUGUGAGUGAAGGAAUACCUGUUGCAGAGUAACAUACAUUUAUACAUAACUUAACCCUCCCAUGUGUGCACAAAUUAAUGGGACCUGCUGUGAUGCAUCCAAGGGGUUGAUGGAGGUGUCUAAUGUCAUUAGAAGACUGCUAUCUAUCACAACAAACAGUCCUGGCAGUCAGAGGAUGUUCCCAAUGACUAGAAGAAAUCAAAUGUCUUGCUCUCUUUGGGAGGGAGGAUACAGGGAACUACAGGUUGGCCAGCCUCUCUUCAGUUCCUGGGAAGGUGCAGUUCCUGGAAGGAGCAAAUCCUCUUAGAAGACAUUUCUAAAAAUAUGAAGGACAAGAAAGUGGUUGGAAGGAAUCAGCGUGGAUUUAAGAAGAGCCUGAUAAACCUUAUUUCCUUUUAUGACAAGGUGUCUGGCGCAGUGGACAAAGGGAGGGCAAUGAAUCCUUUAUACCUUGACUUUAGGAAGGCCUUUGCCAGUCUCCCAUAGUCCACCAUGAUGGUCAGGCUGGAGCACAGGUUGUGCAAGAAGUGUCUGUGAGAGCUACGUCUGUUCAGCGUGUAGAAAAAAAAGCUCGUGGAAACAUUAUUUCCGUCUGCAGCUAUCUGAUCAAAGCACACAGGAGAGGCAAACUCUCUUCUUGGAGGUGUCCAGCAAUACGACAAGAGGCAAUGGACACAAGUUGGAACACAGGAGAUUCUGAUAAUGAUGUAAAGAAAAAUACUCAUAACCAAGGAGGUGAUCAACACUGGCACAGACUGCCCAGAAAAGCUGGGGAAUCUCCACCCUCGGAGGUUUUCAAGACUUGACCAGAAAUGUCUCUGAUCGCCCUAAUGUGAUUAAACCUGCUUUGAGGGUGGGGUUGGACUAGAUAAACGCUGGAUGUCCCUUACAACCUAAAUUAUUCUAUGAGUCAAUAAUUCUGUUCAAUUUCUAGAUUUUUAAAUUCAGGUGAAAUGAAUUCCAGUCUUAGGCAGCAGUCAGCUCAAGAGUAAAUUUUUAAAUUUGUGUGCCUAUCUGUGGAAUACAUGUCUGAACUCCCAUUGUAGUAAUUGGUGAUCUAAUCAGUACAAUGGAGCCUACUGAGCUGUGUCUUGAGGUUGAAGUCUAGUGUUUGGGAGCUCACUCCCAUAAUGGUAUGUAAGCACACAACAUAUUUAAUGCGUGAGUGUAGUACCCACCGAUAUUACUGGGUAUUUGGUAUGCUGGCUAUCUAAGAUCAGAUUCAGGUAAGUGCAGUAAAUGAACACAAUCACAUGCUACGAAAUAAGCAACAAAGGGCCUAGACUAUAAUUAGUCAUCUUCAGAGAUUUAUAACCAUGUAUUAUUGCUUUACAAUAUCAGUUCAGUGAAAACAUAACUCUGUUAACACCGAAAAGACUUUACAGACAUUUCUUGUAUUUAGAUUAGUAUAAACCCCUAUUUAGGCAUUUUGCCCACUUUAGGAUCAGUGCCAAAA